rnacentral:rRNA from 1 species
CGGCAACAGCUCAGAUUUGAAAUCUGGCCCCCAGCGGGUCCGAGUUGUAAUCUGCAGAGGAUGCUUCUGGCGACGUGCCUUCCAGGUUCCCUGGAACGGGACGCCAUAGAGGGUGAGAGCCCCGUACGGUCGCGCACCUAGCCUGUGUGAAGCUCCUUCGAC